AUAAAAGAUCCUUAGCUACUUGCGAUACCCCCAGGACCAACUAGGAUCCCCAUAAAUCGUCCAGGCCACUAAAUCGAGCUUCUGUUCCAGUAUGAGGGGAUGAAGUUCUCCCCUCGGUCUCGUCAGAAGUAGAGUGAAUGAUGGGAGAGGAAGUGGGUGAUCUCGGGACAUCUCCAAUAGGUCCUGGAACCAUGCUUGACUCUGCCAGAGAGG